rnacentral:rRNA from 1 species
UACGUAGGGGGUAAGCGUUGUCCGGAUUUAUUGGGCGUAAAGAGCGUGUAGGCGGCCAGACAGGUCCGUUGUGAAAACUAGAGGCUUAACCUCUAGACGUCGAUGGAAACCGUCUGGCUAGAGUCCGGAAGAGGAGAAUGGAAUUCCUGGUGUAGCGGUGAAAUGCUCAGAUAUCAGGAAGAACACCCGUGGCUAAGGCGGUUCUCUAGUACGGUACUGACGCUGAGACGCGAAAGCGUGGGGAGCGAACAGG